GACGAACGCUGGCGGCGUGCUUAACACAUGCAAGUCGAACGGAAAGGCCCUGCUUUUGUGGGGUGCUCGAGUGGCGAACGGGUGAGUAACACGUGAGUAACAUGCCCUUGACUUAGGGAUAACUUCAGGAGACUGGGGCUAAUACCGGAUAGGAGCUCCUGCUGCAUGGUGGGGGUUGGAAAGAUUCGGCGGUUGGGGAUGGACUCGCGGCUUAUCAGCUUGUUGGUGGGGUAGUGGCUUACCAAGGCUUUGACGGGUAGCCGGCCUGAGAGGGUGACCGGCCACAUUGGGACUGAGAGACGGCGCAGAAUCCUACGGGAGGCAGCAGUGGGGAAUAUGGCACAAUGGGCGGAAGCCAGAUGCAGCAACGCCGCGUGCGGGAUGACGGCCUUCGGGUUGUAAACCGCUUUCGCCUGUGACGAAGCGUGAGUGACGGUAAUGGGUAAAGAAGCACCGGCUAACUACGUG
rnacentral:rRNA from 1 species